UCUCCGUUGGUGAACCAGCGGAGGGAUCAUUACCGAGUUUUUCAACUCCCAAACCCCUGUGAACUUAUACCUUUACUGUUUCUUCGGCGGGUUAACGCCCCGGAAGGCCCAACAAGCCGCCGGAACCAGGCGCCCGCCGGGGGAGCCAAACUCUUGUAUUUCUUACUUUGCAUGUCUGAGUGUAAUCAUAAACAAAUGAAUCAAAACUUUCAACAACGGAUCUCUUGGUUCUG
rnacentral:misc_RNA from 1 species